rnacentral:rRNA from 1 species
UGGAAUUGCUAGUAAUGGCAGGUCAGCAUACUGCCGUGAAUACGUUCCCGGGCCUUGUACACACCGCCCGUCGCACCAUGAGAGUUGGAAAUACCCGAAGCCUGUGAGCUAACAGUAAUGAGGCAGCAGUCGAAGGUAGAGCCAAUGAUUGGGGUGAAGUCGUAACAAGGUACC